AAACAACUUGAAUCCGAACUCCCCUCUCCUAAUGACUUGUAUGGCUCUGAACUGGCCACCAAGUUAAGAACUUUGAACACCAAGCUACUGGAGGGUCUUGAAAAUAAAGAUGGAGAUGUUCCUGGUGGGAAGCCCACAGUAGCAAGUCCUGCUGCCCCUACCUAUCAGUUUCCUCAAGCUACUGAGCUGCCAGUUGGCUGGACCACCAUGGAGUCUCGUACUUCACCGCAUUCCUCAAAGGUGCCCUUAUGCUACCCAAAAUCUCUUACUCCGGAAUACUCUUUGCGCCACACUUUGCACCAGGGAGUUCAAUGUGAUGGCUGUGGAAUGUAUCCAAUCUCGGGUCCACGGUUUAAAUCUAUUGUCCAGGAAAACUAUGAUUUAUGCAGAUAUUGUUUCUCAAAGAUGGGGAACGAGGCUGAGUAUACUAGGAUGGAUCGCCCUGUUUCCAAGUGUCCCUAUUUUACCGGCGUGGAGGCAAAAAAUCCUCAUGGAAGAUAUGCCGGUCCAUCACGUCUGCCCAAACUUGAAAGUCUCUUUGUUAAAGACGUGACUGUCAUAGAUGGAACUGUGCUGUGCCCGCUCACUCCUUUCACUAAGAUAUGGCGGAUGCGUAACAAUGGUACCAUAGCAUGGCCGCUCGGUACACAUCUUCUGUGGACAGGUGGAAGCCGAUUGGGAACUCAGGAGUCUUUCAAUAUACAGCUCCCAAAUAAUGGAUGCCCUGUGGAUCAUGAGUUCGACAUUGCAAUUGAUCUUACGGCUCCUUCCGAGCCUGGGAGGUAUACUUCGUUCUGGAGGCUAGCGGCAUCUUCUGGCGAGACAUUUGGCCAGCGCAUCUGGGUUCAGAUUGAGGUCGAGAAGCCUCAAACAAGUUCCGCUGACGGUGGUUUCCAUCAUGGUCUCAACUUGAACUUGCCUCCCCAAAUCAGUGACCAUGAUUUGUUUGGGAUAAUCGAUAUGAAUGCUGUGCCCUCAGGUGGUGCCUUCACUCAAGCAAAGUUCCCAGAACCCUGGGAUAUGCCAGUGGUUGCCGAGCCCACAAAUGAGAGCUCG
rnacentral:misc_RNA from 1 species